rnacentral:rRNA from 1 species
GUGGAUUAGAUACCCUGGUAGUCCACGCCCUAAACGAUGUCAACUAGGUGUUGGGGAAGGUGACUUCCUUAGUACCGCAGCUAACGCGUGAAGUUGACCGCCUGGGGAGUACGGCCGCAAGGUUAAAACUCAAAGGAAUUGACGGGGACCCGCACAAGCGGUGGAUGAUGUGGAUUAAUUCGAUGCAACGCGAAAAACCUUACCUACCCUUGACAUGCCAGGAACUCUGCUGAGAGGUGGAGGUGCCCGAAAGGGAGCCUGGACACAGGUGCUGCACGGCCGUCGUCAACU